UUCAACCAGCCCCACCUCUCCGCCUGUGUCUGGUCCCCUCCCAGGUCCACUUUCUCUGUGUGCUGAUGUUUUGAGAGGGGGCACUGUGCUCCUGGAUUUCUGAAAGGAGUCAUGCCAGCUUGCAACAAAACCAAAUACAAGCUACAGGCAGUAUUUUACGGCGUCUCCACAAACCUAGAGGGCCCGCUGGAGACAAUAAGGGCAGCCCAGCUAAAAUGCACUCCUGCCGGCGAGGAUAGCUAUAAGUGUCAAGCUACAGGAUUUUAAAGACUUACCGAAUUUCGAGAGACGCAAAUGGGGAUUAUCUUAUCAGAAACGAAAGCCUCUGUAGACCCAACUCUCUGAUGUCUUAAGUGAGCUUUGUUGAGCAUUCAGGCAGCGGCAGGAAUAGAACUGAAUUCUCCAUUUUCAGCUGAAACGUUGACAAGUCUCAGCCGUCUGGGAACCGACCUCUCCACACCCUCAGGCUCUUGUCGGCAGCUGGAACCAGGGCUGUGGGGUGUUACCAGGCACAUUCUUUAAAAUGUGAGCGAAACAAAACAACCAACCACACCCUGAAAUCUGUCCUGCAAACUGCCCGUGACUUCUCCACGGUUCCACCUUUCUCUCUAAUGGAGCAAAUGAAAGACCACUGGAGUGACAAGGAGAGUUGCCACUUUCAAUGGCUGUCGCCGAGCCGGAUGGAGCCCCCUUGCGGUGGACAAGGUGAAGGUGGGGAGAAUAUUAGACAGCCGUCUCAAAAACAGAGCACCCUUAUGCUUUAUAGAAGAGUUUUGUUACGAUGAUGUGUUUUGUAGACAAUUGGAAAAUAUGGAUCGAAAAGAAAAUGCAAGCCCACGGUAAUCCCACCUCUGUUGACAUUUUAGUGUGUGCCCCCGUCCAACGUUUUCUGUGCACAUUCACUUCCCUAAAAGGAACCAAAAUGAGAUCAUAGUGAACCUUUGUUUUCACCACCUGCCCUUUCCCCCGUAACGGAAUAUCGGAGACAUCUUUUCAUGUCAUUAAAUCCUCUUUAGCAUUA